UACAAAUGAGAGGAACGUAAAAGUCAUUG
rnacentral:piRNA from 1 species